AGAUUAAUUGAAAUUAAGGAGAUUCAUCUCUUUACACUAAGCAUUGUUCUUGUCAUUUCUUCUAAAGUUCUAUUUUUUCUCUCUACAACUCUAUUUUGUUGUGGAGUUCUAGGAAUCAAAAAGUUAUGGAAAAUGCCAUUAUUUAAACAAAAUUCAUCAAAAGAUUAGUUUUCAAACUUUCUCCCAUGAUCACUUCUAAUUGAGGAAAUAAGUAACCCUU
rnacentral:misc_RNA from 1 species